AAGCCGCGCGCGUGCGCAAUGGCCAAUGCACGGGUAUGGCCCUGUUGAGUGGCCAUCAUCAACGUGACGGCAUCCACCUGGACGGUACCGCUUGCAUUCAUCAAGUCGCACGGGUCCGAAGGGUGCGUCUCGGUAACGAUCACACUUGUGAUGGCAUCGACCAGGCGAUCAUUGCCCUCGGCGACAGCGCGCGCCAGUUCCUCUGUGGUGCAUGGAAAGGCCUGGCAUCCAACGGUACGCAUCCACUGCAGCAUGGCUUGUUGACCGCCCGCGACGGCGGCGUCCCCAAUGGCGGUCGGACAGCAACAGGGCAUAGUGCCGCCGCCGCGGUCCGAGUGUUGCCAAUACGGCCAGCGGUCGUGCGCGUACAUGACCGUGGCGAACGUGCCCUGGCGCGCGGCUUCGACCACAACACGCACGUCCAAGGCGCACGGCAUCUGCGCCAGCGGACACGCCGUCGUCAGGUAGCGCAACAUGUCGACGUGACCCAAGCGCGCGGCCUCGCACACAGCCUGUGAUAGAUAGGGCACGGCCCUGGCAUCGCCCAUCAACAGCAACGGUCCCGUUGCGCUGUCGGGCGGUGCUUGUUGGCGUCGUUGCGCCGGCACUGGCAUGGAUCGAUGCACUGGUGCGAUCGCAGCCUGCGCCGCUCUCCUGCCAUUAUAGGGUGGUUGAUGAGGGUGGUAGACAGCCGGCAGGAUACGGCCAGUGGGGUCUCUUGUUCCGCCCACAGGGCCAACUUGAUCCCGGCCGACUAUAGGCGCGGGCGACGCCAGACGGUAGCGAUGGACGGCCAAGUCAUUGAUACCCGCUGACGACAACUGUGUGCCACGGUUGGUCGUGAGCGCGGCACCAGGGGCGGUGCGCCUAGUUGCGUCCAUGUGCUCCCAGGGCUCUGGCGGGAGCACGUCUGUCGAUUCAUCUGGUUGGACGGUAGGCACGUCGGGGCCAGGCACGUAGACGGCACCGGUCACAGGGGUCGGCGCCUGCACGGUGGUCCACGCGGAAAGCACGUCCUCUUUCGCAACGCAAGAGCACACCCAGCGAACCACAUCGGCGCGGCCGCCACAGGCCGCGGCCGGCAAGUGCCGGUGUUGCGGCGCCAUCGUCCAACGCGCAAAAAGUGCACGCACGACGUCAAGGGGGAGACCGGCCGCGAGGGCCGCCUCGGAUCGACCACGAUAAUGGGACGCCGCUGCGUCCACCGGUGAUAGAUAGGCCAGCGCCGGCGUCGCGCAAAUGCACGCCGCCACAUCGCGAGGAUGGCCCAAUAGAUUGACGAUGGCGCUGACGAUCUCGGCCGGCAAGUCCAGAAGCGACAUGCCUGCCAUGUGGCGCGUCUGUCUAGGUGUCGUUGCCCGUGUUUGGAUAAAAAAGUGCGUGCCUAUUGAUCCGCCUGGCCGACUGCGCCGCCUUUUUUUGCGCUACUCGUCGGCUGUGCCCAAGUAAUCCCCCACAAAGUGCGCAGUAGGUUUUAGGUUUUGUCCUGUGGUCGUUUACACUUGUAUCAGGCGCCAACACGAUGGCAGCGACGACAACAACAAUGCUGAAACAAAAAGGGUCGGCUUUGACAAGCGGCGACUGUCUGAACCAACCGCAAAAAAAAGAAUAUCG
rnacentral:lncRNA from 1 species